UACAUAGGGUGCAAGCGUUGUCCGGAAUUAUUGGGCGUAAAGAGCUCGUAGGUGGUUCGUUACGUCGGAUGUGAAAAUCUGGGGCUCAACCCCAGACCUGCAUUCGAUACGGGCGAACUAGAGUGUGGUAGGGGAGACUGGAAUUCCUGGUGUAGCGGUGGAAUGCGCAGAUAUCAGGAGGAACACCAAUGGCGAAGGCAGGUCUCUGGGCCAUUACUGACACUGAGGAGCGAAAGCGUGGGGAGCGAACAGG
rnacentral:rRNA from 1 species